rnacentral:rRNA from 1 species
CCUACGGGGGGCAGCAGUGAGGAAUAUUGGUCAAUGGACGAGAGUCUGAACCAGCCAAGUAGCGUGAAGGAUGACUGCCCUAUGGGUUGUAAACUUCUUUUAUAUGGGAAUAAAAUGUUCCACGUGUGGGAUUUUGUAUGUACCAUAUGAAUAAGGAUCGGCUAACUCCGUGCCAGCAGCCGCGGUAAUACGGAGGAUCCGAGCGUUAUCCGGAUUUAUUGGGUUUAAAGGGAGCGUAGGUGGAUUGUUAAGUCAGUUGUGAAAGUUUGGGGCUAAACCGUAAAAUUGCAGUUGAAACUGGCAAGCUUGAGUACAGUAGAGGUGGGCGGAAUUCGUGGUGUAGCGGUGAAAUGCUUAGAUAUAACGAAGAACACCGAUUGCGAAGGCAGUUCACUGGACUGCAACUGACACUGAGGCUCGAAAGUGUGGGUAGCAAACAGGAUUAGAUACCCUUGUAGUC